rnacentral:rRNA from 1 species
GCACGGCUGAGGAACACGUGACUAACCUACCCCGGUGUGGGGGAUAACGGGUCGAAAGACUCGCUAAUCCCGCAUACGAUCCGCCUCGGCGGAGGAAAGCCGUAAGGCGCACUGGGCGGGGGUCGCGUCCCAUUAGAUAGUUGGUGUGGUAAUGGCGCACCAAGUCGAUGAUGGGUCUCUGGUCUGAGAGGACGACCAGACAGAUUGGGACUGAGACACGGCCCAAACUCCUACGGGGGGCAGCAGCAAGGAAUUUUCGGCAAUGGGCGCAAGCCUGACCGAGCAACGCCGCGUGGAGGAUGACGGCUCUUGGGUUGUAAACUCCUUUUGGGGGGGACGAUAAUGACGGUACCCUCCGAAUCAGGCCCGGCUAACUACGUGCCAGCAGCCGCGGUAAUACGUAGGGGCCAAGCGUUGUCCGGAAUUACUGGGCGUAAAGCGUGGGUAGGUGGUCGGUGAUGUGCCGCGUGAAAGCGCCGGAGUAAUGCCGGCGAGGUCGCGGUAGACACACGGACUCGAGGCUCGCAGAGGAACGUGGAAUUCCCGGUGUAGUGGUGAAAUGCGUAGAUAUCGGGAGGAACACCAGUGGCGCAAGCGGCGUUCUGGGCGAGACCUGACACUGAGCCACGACGGCGUGGGGAGCAAACAGGAUUAGAUACCCUGGUAGUCCACGCAGUAAACGAUGCAUACCAGGUGUGGGAUGGCGUUCGCGUCGUUCCGUGCCGCAGCUUACGCGAUGAGUAUGCCGCCUGGGGACUACGAGCGCAAGCUUAAAGCUCAAAGGAAUUGACGGGGGCCCGCACAAGCAGCGGAGCGUGUGGUUUAAUUCGACG